rnacentral:rRNA from 1 species
GUGGGGAAUAUUGCACAAUGGGGGAAACCCUGAUGCAGCAACGCCGCGUGAGCGAAGAAGGCCUUUGGGUCGUAAAGCUCUGUCCUCAGGGAAGAAGGAAGUGACGGUACCUGAGGAGGAAGCCCCGGCUAACUACGUGCCAGCAGCCGCGGUAAUACGUAGGGGGCAAGCGUUAUCCGGAAUUAUUGGGCGUAAAGGGUACGUAGGCGGCUUGGUAAGCGUGAGGUGAAAGGCAAUUGCUUAACGAUUGUAAGCCUUGCGAACUGUCAGGCUUGAGUGCAGGAGAGGAAAGCGGAAUUCCUAGUGUAGCGGUGAAAUGCGUAGAUAUUAGGAGGAACACCAGUGGCGAAGGCGGCUUUCUGGACUGUAACUGACGCUGAGGUACGAAAGCGUGGGGAGCAAACAGGA